ACACACAAACUAAAAGUUAGAGGAGACCUGCAUGCUUCAAGGUUGGCAGUGCGGGGGAGAGGAAACUGCGGACAGCUUCUGUUUCACUUUGACAGGUUUUUAUAACUUAGGUGUUGGGUUGUGACUCAGGCUGGUUCAUCUGAGAUAAUGUGCAAGUUGUCCCUGAAACCUCACCAGUCACUCCUCUCUAACUGCUGCUUUUAAAAAAAGCAGGCUUCGUCAGCCCAGAGCAAUGUCAGCGUCGGUGCCCCAGCUUGGCUUUUGGGUUCUGUGUGUCCUGCAACUCCUCUUUGAACCUGAUCUGGUCACCAUGACCUUGUGGCAUAAGACUGACCCAGGAGGGAUGAGCUGCUCUCAGCCAACCCCCUCUUCCUCCCCUCCUGGGGGAAAUACUCUGAAGUCAAUUCGUCACUAUUUCAUUGAAUUGAAGUUAGGCUGAAUCCCUUUUUCAGUGCUAUUUUUUAGGUACAUCUAGAUAAAACUACCUCUUGCAACCUCUGUGAAGGCUGAUUUAGAGAGUUGUUAAAUCAACUUCACGGUCAUUUUGUAGGAUGCUGUUUGAGAGGUGCCUUUGUUCAACCCAUCUAGUAUAACAAUAAGGAUAGACUAUAUAUUUAAAAGACCUGUCAGUAUAACACAAUGCACCUCAGCAGCUCCACAAACAGCAGCCUUCAGAGCGAACAUGAAGUUGAAUUUAUGCUUCUUUUAGGGGAGUUUGGGGAAAAAAAACCAAAACUGAACAUUAUAUCCUUCAUGAAGGUAGGAUUUAUUGCAGUGGCUGUUGAUGUUUAUAAUAUGUUACAUGGUGUUUAAUGUCUAACCUAAACUUGCUUCAUUACAAGGUUUCCUUUUCAUUAUAGAGGAAUUUAGAGUUGUUACUUACUGAUUCUGAAGCAUCUACGGUUUCUGUUUUCAUGUUAGUCACUAUCAUUUAGACUGUAAAGAUGUUUAAAAAGUAGCAUCUGCAGACACCCUUGAGUAUAAAGUUGUUGGGUUUUUUUCCUGCCUAGCCCUAACUCCUCUUUGAACCUGAUCUGGUCACCAUGACCUUGUGGCAUGAGACUGACCCAGGAGGGAUGAGCUGCUCUCAGCCAUCCCCCUCUUCCUCCCCUCGUCAGGGAAAUACUCUGAAGUGGAUCUGUCACCAUUUCAGUCAAAUGAAGUUAGACUGACUGUUGGACAGAGUUGAAAGUCAGACCCAAAAAAGAUUAGGAUGAGUACAUAACAAACGAUACGCCUGAACACCGCGCUAGCCCCUCUCAGUGAGUCGCUGUUUUAUAUUUGUCGCCUUAUCAUGUUCUGUUAUCACGGUGCUUGACAUUUAAGGGAUCUAGCAGUAAAAGAACAUAUUGGAUUAAGGCCAGUGGCCGUCGCUUGCUUCAGGUACUUGGUUUUCUGUGCUGGCACAUUGCUCCUAUGGUCGGCCACUGUUAUUUUUAGGCUGCUCCUCCUGUCCAGUUGUGAAUUUCACUGGUUCUUAGUAGACAUAACCAUUUUUCCAAAGCAUGCUAUUCUAGUGAGCUGUCACAUUGUACUGUGGAUUCCUGCAACUGGCCACUGAGUCAAACUUGACUUCCUCACCCACUGCCCUAGUUGCCUUGGCAAACACACGCCUGGACUGUGACCAGCGAAAAUCAGCAUGACUUGCACAAAUGGAAGGCCGCCAGUAUCAAUGGCUCAAAGGGAUACAACACAAUGCAGCAGGACGUGUUUGUUUCUCUGCUGCUCCAGCAUGUCGAAGGCUUGCUCUUGCCAUUAUCAGUGACCAUUUAAAGAAGUUUGGAGCAGCGGCCGCAGCAGCAGCAUGAUUGUGCUGUCACUGACUCGCUGCACCUCAAUGACUGUUAGUAUGUCCAGUAUGUAAAACAGUGCUGUUCUAAGCUGAAGCUGCAUUAUAAACAUUCCAACUACUAAUUCACAUGGCUAUCAUGUAUACGUUUAUGUUAAUGUACUUGAAACAUGAUAACUCUUGUCUAGCAUGAAUUUUUGUUGCUAAAUGUAUCAUUUAAAUUCUGUAUUUAGAUACAUUGGCCCUCAGGGACUGGAUAGAACGCAGUACAUAGUGAGAUUUUGCUUUCACUUUGUGCACCUGAUGGACAGUUUACUGUAAUCUGACAAGAUGACAUGACACACAUUUGGAAUACAGUUGCAUUAUUGUCUUUGGCAUAACUCACUAAUGUAACAAACAACCGUUCAUAGACAGAUGUGUUCCCCUGUGAUAAAGUUAGAAAUACA